GUUUGCGGAGAGCAGACGAAAAGAGGAACGGCAAAAAUACUGCGCUUUCCGCUCCACGAUGCGCUCGAAUCGCAGCACGUGAGCGUCACGGGAUGGAGGCCCGACAUUAUUUCUGCUCUUCUGAGGAAUAACGAGGCAUUGCAAGCGUAAUCACAGACGGUUCGGGCGCGUACUCGAUUGAGCUUCAUUUCGAAAGGUGAGAGCUGAAGGAGAUCCCGAGCGGGUAAGAGAGGUAGACCAUGCGCCCUCAACGACUACUGUUACCUGUGGAGUCGCGAUGAUGAUGGUCGGCACGGAGCCCCGCUCGAAGUCCCGCGUACGAGGACUCUUUCCUAGCGUCUGCGAAAGGACAUUCCGACCGAGAGCACGCCGGAGUCGAACGUCUCCGUCAGGAGCGUUCUCGUACGCGGGUCUCCAGGGUCUCUCCGAUUUCCAAUUUGAGCGAAGUAUACAGAUAACUUGUACACACAUGAACAUAUAUUCCACUCGGAUCUAUCCCGGUUAAUAAAACUUCUAUGAUG